rnacentral:rRNA from 1 species
GGAGGGGGCGAGCGUUAUUCGGAAUCAUUGGGCGUAAAGGGCAGGUAGGCGGCUUGGUAUGUCUCUUGUGAAAGCCCUCGGCUCAACCGAGGAAUUGCAGGGGAAACUGCCGAGCUUGAGUCCGGGAGAGGAGAGUGGAAUUCCCAGUGUAGCGGUGAAAUGCGUAGAUAUUGGGAGGAACACCAGUGGCGAAGGCGACUCUCUGGACCGGUACUGACGCUGAGCUGCGAAAGCUAGGGGAGCGAACGGGGGAUUAGAUACCCCGGUAGUCCUAGCUGUAAACGAUGAGCACUUGGUGUGGCGGGUAUCGACCCCUGCUGUGCCGGCGCUAACGCAUUAAGUGCUCCGCCUGGGAGUACGGUCGCAAGGCUG